CCGACCGGGCCCGAGGCCACCAGCCUGGGCCUCCCGUCCUCCCGGAGUUCACAGUGACGGGCAUGCAAGACGCCAGCGAUUUCCAAAGCAGUGCCGGAGAGCAGGGUGGGUGUGGCUAGGUGGCACACGGUCGGAGCCAAAAGGGAGGCCCAGGUGGCCCUCCCUGGGCCCCAGUUGGCAUCGCCAGGCAGGCUCCAGGCCGUCCCCGUAUUGUGGUGAGGAACUGAGGACAACAUCCUCCAAGCACGGACAGCAGGAGAGGGGUGUUCAGACUAGAAAUGAUGACCACUUGUGACCCCAGCUCUGCGUGACCUGGGGCCAGCAAGCUGCUCCCAAGCCUCUGUUUUGUCAUCUGUGGAAUGGGAACAAUCCCGGCCCCCACUCCCCGGUGGCAGCGAGGAUCAGAUAUCAUUCCUGUGUGUUCCCCUGAAAGCUGGCGUGCCCGACGGAUGGGGGCACUCCACAGAGAAGGUGUGAUGUGGCUGGCACUGUCGAUGGACGCCCGCAGAGGUGAGGCGGAUGGGAACCAGGUGCCCCGGAUGCCUCUGUGGGCUGUGCACCCGGCUGACUCUGGACCCCAGCUGCGGCAGCCGCUGGCACUUUGCGGGAGGCUGGAGCGGGCAGGGCCCCGCAGAUCCCGGAACAGCAGCGCCCCGCUUCCCUGCAUCCCGCCUCGAUGUAAACACGGUUGGGAACAUUUCAGGACCGCGACAGCAAGAAAAACAAACCCGCGGAACCCAGACAACGAGCGCAAAUGCUAACUUUCAUGUCACAUCCAGAAACCACGUGUUCAUCGGGCCACCUGCGGGCUUGCGGCUCAGCGGGGAGGUGCAGGGUUGUUGUGUUUAGAAACCAAGCUAGGGGCACAGCUGCGGGCGCCACCUCCCUCCGUCCUCCCAGACACGGCCCUUGAGGCCGCCUGGACGUCGGUGUGGGGAUGGGCACCCAUGCCUCUGGCUUUUAAGUCGCCUGGGAGUCAGUGGAGCGGAGGGGGAGGGUCCUGUCACUGCGGGCCCCACCUUGGGCACCUCUCCGUGCUCAGCGGGGCCUGGCAAAGGCCUGAGGUCACCUGGCCAGUGAGUGGCAGACUUAGAACUCACGCCAGGACCCCCGACUCCCCAGACCCACUCUCUUCCCGCUACCCCCGGCUGACUGGCCACCGUCCUACUCAGGCAAACCGACUACCUAUGGGCUUGGGGAGGGCUCCAGAUCCCUCCUACCCUUUGAGACAGCGAUGCUGAGAAGUGUUAUUUUUAUUCGUCCCCAAGCCUUGCCAGAUUACAUUGUCAAGGCCAGCACUUUGGAGAUAUUCCCUUGGUUUCGCAAUUCACGCAGUGACUAACACAUGUUACAUUUUGAAAACCUCUCUUGGUAAAAAUUUAAGCUGACUUGUAAAUACAUAAAAGUCUCGAUGUUAAUGGGGUGCAUGAUUUCUCGGUGGCUGUUUUGUAAUCCCAAGAUUCCAAAGGGAUGUGGAAUUCUAUAAAAAUGGAGAACGAGAACCCUCCCAGAGCCGCCCUUUGGAACCAUCACUACGGGCAGCGGAACAGCCCUUACAUCUGUCCGUCGUUACAGAAGUUACAAAAUCACUUCCCGUUUCCUGCCCCAGGCAGGGCAGGACACUUCCGGGGGGUGGUCCGAGCAGGGAGAGCAGAGAAGCCCGGAGCGGAGGAUCGGGGUCCCUCCACGGGGCAGGAGCGCACGCAGGCUCUGAAACCAUCCAUAGGGCAGUUGGACGCGCUGUCUACACAUGGCUCUCCCGAGUGGCAUCUUCCAAGAGCCCUUUGCCGCUCCGGGCCCCUCCCCCGCCGCCUCCCACCCCUGCGAACGGGCCUGUUUCUGCGAGCACUGAAGACGGGAAACACGCGAUCUUGAAUGUGUCUCUUUCACGCUCACACGUUUUUUUCGUUGUGCAUCUUGGCUGAUCCAUGAUUUAAGAUCCCCAGCAACUGUUUCCAGCACAAAUUUAUGACUAGACGGUGCUGGAAGUCAGGCGUCCAAAGUGGCCUCGCUGGGCUAGAACCAAGAUGUCGCAGAGCCAGCUCCUUCUGGAGGCUCUAGCGGGAGCAUCCGUUUCCCGGCCACGGCCAGCUUCUGGAGGCGCCCGCAUCCCUCGCUCCCAGCGCCAUUCUCCGUCUUUGAGUCGUAGCAUUACGACCUCCGCUUCCCUCAUCAUCACAUCUCCUUUUCCCUGACUCUGAGCCCCUCCUCACCUACAUCCCUCCUUCCCUUAUGAGCACCCUCGAGGUCACGAUGGUCCACCCGGGGCAAUCCGUCCCUGUCUCAUCCGAGUCGCCCCAGGGCCUGUACUCAGCCGAGCACAGGACACGCACCUGCUCACAGCUCACAGGCCGUUGGCUCCCGGGUCCCGCCGGACUUCCCAAAGCGACGUAUGAAGUCGCAGGACACAAGUAUCCGCCCCAGGUCACAGGUGGAAAGCUGAGGCGUGUGCAGCAGGGAAGGGGUGCACAGGGGCCCUGCGGGGCCUGUGGCCGCUGGUGGUGAACCCGCGGCACACAGCGGGCAUCUGGGCCUCGAGGCAAACGGCCACAAGUACGCGAGGACGGGUCGAGAAUCCCUCCCGCGGUACGGGUCCACGGCGCAGGCACUUUGGGGUUUGGAACAGAGGGUCUCGUUUCUCCCCCAGACUCACCUCUUCCCCAUGGGGCUGCCCGAGGGAAGAGCACGGGACAAAGGGGCAGACAGACCCGGGCAAUGCACGCGUGCGCACACGCACGUGGGCGGCUGAACAUCCCGAGCCUCAGAUCCCACCUCACUAUGGACUAUGAGCGGGUUGACGUGUGCACGUUCCAAGCCCUGGGCCUCGGAGAAAGGGGCAGAGCAUGACUUCUCUGCUUGGCCCUGGCUGGAAUGCAGACGGGAUGGAGGGAGCUGCCGCAGCCAUCUGAGACCAUGAGCUCAGAGUUUCUUGUGGAGGACAGAGCAGCGGGCUCCCCGGCGUCUAGGCUUCUGACGUCCCGGUGGCUCCACAUCCAGAACCGCCUGUGUUUGGACUGAAGUGGGAGAAAGAAAGAAACGUCCAUCAUGUUUAAGCCACUCUCUGGGGGCAUCUUUGUUCUAGCAGCAAGCAUGAACAGCAUCCCGACUGAUACAGAUUCGGGCACACAGAAGGGACGGGCGCUGCUCUUGUAGCUAAAUCCCCCUCGGUCUGGCCUCCGUGGUCCAGGACACAGGUGUUGUGAGCUGGAAAGCUGUCGCCAGCCCCCCACCCCCACCCCGCCGUGCUGUGAUCUUGCCCUAAAAGUGCUCCCUCAGACGCAUAGAAGGCAGACCACAUCGCGAUGGCCCCUGGAACUCUUAGGACUGGCUUGAGAGACUCAUAAUGUUGGGGUGGGUGGGGAGGGUGCUUCCUGACUUUGGGAACUGAUCUGGGAGAGUCACCAGAUGGCUUUGGAGACACAGUCUCGGUGGAAGAGAAGAGGUUGGUCCCAGGAGGCAUCCCCAGCAGGACAGGGGGGCCGGCCCUGGGGCCGCGAUCUGAAUGGAGUGCUGUCCCCCUGGCCAAGCCUGUUGAUUCCGGGGACAGCAAGGCAGUAGCUCUUGAAUGAGCAAGAUAAGUCAACAGCAAGAUGGGCCUGGAAAGAAGAGACCAACUUCGUGAGAAUAAAAAGCCAGGUCUGGACAAGAUCUCUAGGUGGGGUUACAUGCAACAUGGCACUAACCGGUUGUAAAUAGACCAGCAGUUGACUAGUUUUAGAAGGAAUUGUAUUUCCAAAUAAACCCCAA